rnacentral:rRNA from 1 species
UGGGGAAUCUUCCGCAAUGGGCGAAAGCCUGACGGAGCAACGCCGCGUGAAUGAAGAAGGCCUUCGGGUCGUAAAGUUCUGUCUUUGGAGACGAACAUUCUAUAUGUAAAUAAUGUAUAGAACUGACGGUAUCCAAGGAGGAAGCUCCGGCUAACUACGUGCCAGCAGCCGCGGUAAUACGUAGGGAGCGAGCGUUGUCCGGAAUUACUGGGCGUAAAGGGCGCGUAGGCGGGUAUUUAAGUCAGAUGUGAAAACUCCGGGCUCAACCUGGAGACUGCAUUUGAAACUGAGUAUCUUGAGGGCAGGAGAGGAAAGUGGAAUUCCUAGUGUAGCGGUGAAAUGCGUAGAUAUUAGGAGGAACACCAGUGGCGAAGGCGACUUUCUGGACUGUACCUGACGCUGAGGCGCGAAAGCGUGGGGAGCGAACG